AAAAUCACUUAGACUUCGUGGGUCCCUCUCAAAUACUCUAUUUCAUCACUUCCCACGUAAAUCUACUCCCAAUUUUCACAAGGUAGUUCUAAUUCCUUCUUUAAUGUGUGUUAUUUUGAUUUACAUAUAGAAGUUCUUGUUUUAAUAAUCUUUUUUGUAAAAAUUAAUAUCGUGGGAGUGUUGUAAAGUACAUUGGGAUUAAAUGUAGCUGCUUUUAGCUGUUCUGCAACUUCCCUAAUUUUUGAAGAAUCAUCAGAAGAAGAUGAAGAAAACCGAGUAAAUUCAGUUAUCAUGGGCAGUACAAAGGGACUCGAAUUAUUCAAUUUGAAUAAAAAGUGCAGAAUUUCUGCAAAUCAUCAGACUUAUCUCUGGCUCUUAGAUGGGUAUUUAAAUUCUGGGUCUUCGAUUGAUUCUAAGAAGCUCCAUGGGCAAAUAUUGAAAUCUGG
rnacentral:lncRNA from 1 species